CCCAUUUCCCAGUCCCAUAUAUUAUAUCAAAUAUUAUUGGAUGCCGAAUUGACUUUUAAAUAGGUGCCGAUUUGACUAGAUGCCGAUUUAACCAGGUGCCGAUUUGACUUGUACCCAGUAAUCUCGGACUAUUCACUUCGUAUCUUAUCACCGUUAAUUCUAGGAGGAACCCCAUUUCUAACUCUUUAAUUAUUAAUUUCCUUUGGGUCAGUGGGCAUGAAUCCUUCCGUACACACUCCUCUGUUUAAAUUGAGAUCGUUCUUAAUAUAAUACGACGUUUAUCGACAUCUAACGAGUUAAUUUUUUUCUUGACGAUUUUGACGGGAAAUACUUCUGAAAGGGAGACAACUCGAAACGAUAAUAUGGAAGACUCCAUUUCGGCUAAAGGGGUGUU
rnacentral:lncRNA from 1 species